AACCGCAAAGGGCUCAGUAAACCAGUUUUGAUUUACUUGAGUCUUAACGAUUUGUACGUGGAUACCUGUGGUAAUUCUAGAGCUAAUACAUGCAAUUAUGUCCGGACCAGCAAUGGAAAGGACGCUUUUAUCAGAUCAAAAUCAUUCGCCCGACUCGUUUGGGCGUUUAUUUGGUGAAUCUAGAUAACCACAUGUGAUCGUACAGUCCUAGUACUGGCGACUGCUCUUUCAAACGCCUGACUUAUCAGCUGUCGAUGGUAGACUCUGUGUCUACCAUGGCCUUCACGGGUAACGGGGAAUCAGGGUUCGAUUCCGGAGAGGGAGCCUAAGAAACGGCUACCACAUCCAAGGAAGGCAGCAGGCACGCAAAUUACCCACUCCCGGCACGGGGAGGUAGUGACAAAAAAUAACGAUACGGGACUCUAAUGAGGCCCCGUAAUCGGAAUGAGUACACUUUAAAUCCUUUAACAAGGAUCCAUUGGAGGGCAAGUCUGGUGCCAGCAGCCGCGGUAAUUCCAGCUCCAAUAGCGUAUAUUAAAGUUGUUGCGGUUAAAAAGCUCGUAGUUGGUUCUGCGUGCCGCGCUGUCGGUUCGCCGCCUGUCGGUGUAACUGGCAUGUCGCGGCAUGUCCUGUCGGUGGUGAACGGGAAUCCCGGUGCAACUUGACUUUUUAAAGGCGUAGUCUGUACCGUGCGUAUUGCCGUUAGCCGAUUUCUCCUACUCCGGUGCUCUUAAACGAGUGUCGAGGUAGGCCGACACGUUCACUUUGAACAAAUUAGAGUGCUUAAAGCAGGCUAAAAUCUCUGCCUGAAUAGUGGUGCAUGGAAUGAUAAAAUAGGACCUUGGUUCUAUUUUGUUGGUUUUAGGAACAUAAGGUAAUGAUCAAUGUGGACUGGCGGGGGCAUUCGUAUUGCGACGUUAGAGGUGAAAUUCUUGGAUCGUCGCAGACCAA
rnacentral:rRNA from 1 species